CAAACCAUUUCCCUUGGAUGGUCACAUUUCCUUGGAGAAUAAGCCAGAGGUUCUGAGGUACCAGCUGCGGGAAUGAGAUGUUGGCCCCGCAGUCAGCUCGGGGGACACUGUUCUCGGACUCCCCGAGCUGCUUCGGAAGCUCGGCGAGCCGCUCUUUGUUCUUGGACACGAACUGGAAGACGCCUCUGGCCCUGUCCACCCACUGGAUGCAGGAGGCCAUCUCGGGGUCGCACAGCGACUCAUGCAGGUCCUCCUGCCUCAGCCUCCUGAGUACUAGGACUGCAGGCACUCCAACCACGCACGGCCGGUCACUACCCUUCCACAUGGGACCAAGCACUGCAGAGGGCGCACGGCUUCUUACCUGGGGAGGAACUUGGAUCCACGGUGGAGUGCUGCCUCAGGACCUCGAAAGCAUCUUCGAACGCCUGCCCCAGCCUGUCCUGGUCAACACAAGCCUGCGUGCACAACGUGGAGUUACCAAGCUGCCAGUGAGGAUUUCCCAGGAGCCAUUCUUGGCUAGGCUACAUCGCAGCCUCUUAGCUGGAGCCGCCCCACACCAAAUGUCUGCAGGAUGCUGGUGUUGCUGUGGGUGCCCAUCUCCAACCCAAAGCCUCCUGUGCUUUGAGAACUCAGGGUUACCAAGUCAAGGCCAGCCUGAACUGCAUAGCGAGACCUUGUCUCAAACAAAUAAGCAAAUUCCAAAGCCUCUUUGCCUUCUGAGAAUCUGGUAGAAGACUUGUUCUCGUCCCAUGAAAUCCAGACUUGUGUAAUUCAAGAAAAAUUCAGCUCACGAAGGCAGUUCCAGGACUCCCUUGAGUCUUGGAUUCAAUCUUAGUUCUCAGGCGAAGAGUCCAGGGUGGUGGGCAGGCCUGUGCCCCCAGCACUCCCGGAGGCUGAGGCAGGAGGAUCGCAAGUCUGCGAUCUGUAGCCUCUGCUACAUUGUCCAUCGCCUGGGCAAUAUAGCAAUUUGGUGACUCGGUUUUAAAAUUAAAAAUAAACAGGGGCUCGGCCUGCAGCCCAGGCGAGGUCCUGAACGCAACUUCAGUACUGCAAAAGCAAAAUGGCCAACUCUGGUCUGUGAGUUCACGUGAUCUGCUUUCUCAUUCUUCUAGAUUUUU